GAUUAUCAUUAAUCGUACCCCAAACCGACACAGGUGGUCAGGUAGAGAAUACUCAGGCGCUUGAGAGAACUCGGGUGAAGGAACUAGGCAAAAUGGUGCCGUAACUUCGGGAGAAGGCACGCUGGCAUUAGGUGAAGUGGUUUACCCAUGGAGCUGAAGCCAGUCGCAGAUACCAGCUGGCUGCAACUGUUUAUUAAAAACACAGCACUGUGCAAACACGAAAGUGGACGUAUACGGUGUGACGCCUGCCCGGUG
rnacentral:rRNA from 2 species